UACGGGGGGGAGCAAGCGUUGUUCGGAUUUACUGGGCGUAAAGGGCGCGUAGGCGGUCAGCACAAGUCAGUUGUGAAAUCUCCGGGCUUAACUCGGAAAGGUCAACUGAUACUGUGCGACUAGAGUGCGGAAGGGGCAACUGGAAUUCUUGGUGUAGCGGUGAAAUGCGUAGAUAUCAAGAGGAACACCUGCGGCGAAGGCGGGUUGCUGGGCCGACACUGACGCUGAGGCGCGAAAGCCAGGGGGAGCGACGGG
rnacentral:rRNA from 1 species